GGCCCUUCGGGGUACUCGAGUGGCGAACGGGUGAGUAACACGUGGGUGAUCUGCCCUGCACUUUGGGAUAAGCCUGGGAAACUGGGUCUAAUACCGAAUACACCCUUCUGGCUGCAUGGUCUGGUUGGGGAAAGCUUUUGCGGUGUGGGAUGGGCCCGCGGCCUAUCAGCUUGUUGGUGAGGUUACGGCUCACCAAGGCGACGACGGGUAGCCGGCCUGAGAGGGUGACCGGCCACACUGGGACUGAGAUACGGCCCAGACUCCUACGGGAGGCAGCAGUGGGGAAUAUUGCACAAUGGGCGCAAGCCUGAUGCAGCGACGCCGCGUGAGGGAUGACGGCCUUCGGGUUGUAAACCUCUUUCGCCAGGGACGAAGCGCAAGUGACGGUACCUGGAGAAGAAGGACCGGCCAACUACGUGCCAGCAGCCGCGGUAAUACGUAGGGUCCGAGCGUUGUCCGGAAUUACUGGGCGUAAAGAGCUCGUAGGUGGUUUGUCGCGUUGUUCGUGAAAACUCACAGCUCAACUGUGGGCGUGCGGGCGAUACGGGCAGACUGGAGUACUGCAGGGGAGACUGGAAUUCCUGGUGUAGCGGUGGAAUGCGCAGAUAUCAGGAGGAACACCGGUGGCGAAGGCGGGUCUCUGGGCAGUAACUGACGCUGAGGAGCGAAAGCGUGGGGAGCGAACAGGAUUAGAUACCCUGGUAGUCCACGCCGUAAACGGUGGGUACUAGGUGUGGGUUUCCUUCCUUGGGAUCCGUGCCGUAGCUAACGCAUUAAGUACCCCGCCUGGGGAGUACGGCCGCAAGGCUAAAACUCAAAGAAAUUGACGGGGGCCCGCACAAGCGGCGGAGCAUGUGGAUUAAUUCGAUGCAACGCGAAGAACCUUACCUGGGUUUGACAUGCACAGGACGUGCCUAGAGAUAGGUAUUCCCUUGUGGCCUGUGUGCAGGUGGUGCAUGGCUGUCGUCAGCUCGUGUCGUGAGAUGUUGGGUUAAGUCCCGCAACGAGCGCAACCCUUAUCUUAUGUUGCCAGCGCGUAAUGGCGGGGACUCGUGAGAGACUGCCGGGGUCAACUCGGAGGAAGGUGGGGAUGACGUCAAGUCAUCAUGCCCCUUAUGUCCAGGGCUUCACACAUGCUACAAUGGCCGGUACAAAGGGCUGCGAUGCCGUGAGGUGGAGCGAAUCCUUUCAAAGCCGGUCUCAGUUCGGAUCGGGGUCUGCAACUCGACCCCGUGAAGUCGGAGUCGCUAGUAAUCGCAGAUCAGCAACGCUGCGGUGAAUACGUUCCCGGGCCUUGUACACACCGCCCGUCACGUCAUGAAAGUCGGUAACACCCGAAGCCGGUGGCCUAACCCC
rnacentral:rRNA from 1 species